GAGGGCGGGCCGGGCGCCGGGGUACUCGCGGCCGCCGCCAGAGGGCAGCCAGGGAGCGCGCCCGGCCGGCCAGGGCCGACCCCCCAGGAUUCAGCCUUUCCGUUCAACUCGAAUCCAGUCGAAACAUACUUUGAUUUAUGGUGUGAGAUGCUGCAUUUUUUACAAAUUGAAGGUUUGGGCAACCCUGCCUCAGGCAAGUCUAUUGGGGUCACUUUUCCAACAGCAUGUGCACACUUUGUGUCUCUGUGCC